rnacentral:rRNA from 1 species
CAGCAGCCGCGGGAAUACGAAGGGGGCUAGCGUUGUUCGGAUUUACUGGGCGUAAAGCGCACGUAGGCGGACUUUUAAGUCAGGGGUGAAAUCCCGGGGCUCAACCCCGGAACUGCCUUUGAUACUGGAAGUCUUGAGUAUGGUAGAGGUGAGUGGAAUUCCGAGUGUAGAGGUGAAAUUCGUAGAUAUUCGGAGGAACACCAGUGGCGAAGGCGGCUCACUGGACCAUUACUGACGCUGAGGUGCGAAAGCGUGGGGAGCAAACAGGAUUAGAUACCCCCGUAGUCCCGUCUCUUAUACA